GUUAGAUUAUAACAAUGUUGUGCAUAUGCAUUGGUUGCAUAUAUAAAGUUUCAUUUGCUGUUUUGGCAAGCGUAGCUUGAUGAAGGAAGUAAGUUCCGUAUAUAUUUGCGCUGAAAAACAGUUCAUUAAUAUUGUGUUUUUCACGUGAUAAGUUGCUGUACAAGAUGACGCCAUAUUGGUUUAUUGCCGUUGCUCUUCUAGGCUGUUUGGACAUUGCCAGUGCUAUUGAAAUGUAUGGGUUGAGCUACAACUACUUCGACGAGAUGGCAACAAAACUAUUGCGCUGCAAAGACUGAAGGCUGAGUUUUCAGUAUUAGGUGGGAUUGUUUUGGCGUAGCUCCAACAUGCAACGAAAUGUGUGCGUCAUCAAAGACCGACAUGUAUGGCUCCAUCGAAAAUAAAGUAACCAAAGCUGGCUGUUUCGAUGGAGUCUUCAUCAUAAAUAAUUCACAGACAACUACUGCCUAACCCAUCCAACUCGCAGCCGGAUUCAGGAAAAUCCAGUCUGAUUAUAUGUGAUUAUGGUUCCGGCGCAUGUACCUCGGGCCUUAACCACUGUAGACCGAACUAUUGCUGUUGUAAAGGGGAUUGGAAAAAAAAGUUUUGAAAUAUAUUCGAAAGAGUUAAGAUCAGUUUUGAUACUGGUAUAUUCACAGUCAAAGAAAAUGAGAAAAAAUAACGAAUUACAGAACAAGAUGCUUGCAUAAAUAUUGUAAUAAUUGUAUGUUGUUUUAAUGUACCUUUUUAAUGUAAACUGAAAGUAAUAAUGAAUGUAAAUAUUGGAAAUUUUA